GACGAACCGUGCAAACGUUAUUCGGAAUCACUGGGCGUAAAGAGCUCGUAGGCGGUUUGUCACGUCUGCUGUGAAAUCCCGAGGCUCAACCUCGGGCCUGCAGUGGGUACGGGCAGACUGGAGUGCGGUAGGGGGAGAAUGGAAUUCCUGGUGUAGCGGUGGAAUGCGCAGAUAUCAGGAGGAACACCGAUGGCGAAGGCAGUUCUCUGGGCCGUAACUGACGCUGAGGCGCGAAAGCCAGGGGAGCAAACGGG
rnacentral:rRNA from 1 species